rnacentral:rRNA from 1 species
GACGAACCGUGCGAACGUUAUUCGGAAUCACUGGCUUAAAGCGCGUGUAGGCGGCUCGCCAAGUCAGGGGUGAAAUCUCCCCGGCUCAACCCGGGGAAACAGCUUCUGAUACUGGCGGGCUGGAGGGAGGUAGGGGCGGAUGGGAACUUCCGGUGGAGCGGUGAAAUGCGCGAGAUAUCAGGAGGAACACCGAUGGCGAAGGCAGGAUCUCCUGGGCAUUAACUGACGCUGAGGAGCGAAAGCAUGGGGAGCGAACGGGA